rnacentral:rRNA from 1 species
AGCAGCCGCGGUAAUUCCAGCUCCAAUAGCGUAUAUUAAAGUUGUUGCAGUUAAAAAGCUCGUAGUUGAAUUUCGGGGCCAGUAGGUUGGUCGUGCCACUGGUAUGCACUGGUCUCACUGGUCCCUCCUUCUUGUAGAACCGUGAUGGCAUUAAUUUGUUGUUGCGGGGAAACAGGACUGUUACUUUGAAAAAAUUAGAGUGCUUAAAGCAGGCUCGCGCUUGAAUACAUUAGCAUGGAAUAACGAAAUAGGACGAUCGAACCUAUUUUGUUGGUUUCUAGGAUCGACGUAAUGAUUAAUAGGGAUAGUUGGGGGCAUUAGUAUUCAAUUGUCAGAGGUGAAAUUCUUGGAUUUAUUGAAGACUAACUACUGCGAAAGCAUUUGCCAAGGAUGUUUUCAUUAAUCAAGAACGAAAGUUAGGGGAUCGAAGACGAUCAGAUACCGUCGUAGUCUUAACCAUAAACUAUGCCGACUAGGGAUCGGAUGAAGUUAAUUUUUUAAUGACUCAUUCGGCGCCUUA